rnacentral:snRNA from 1 species
GUGCUUGCUUCGGCAGCACGUACACUAAAAUUGGAACGAUACAGAGAAGAUUAGCAUGGCCCCUGUGCAAGGAUGACAUGCAAAUUCAUGAAGCGUUCCAUAUUUUU